GAAGCUGUGGAACCAUUGUUGCACUACUGGGCCCCAACAGAACCAAGGGGCCAUGGUGACACAGCAGGGCUUCAUGGAACACAAAGACCAUUAUGACACUGUGGGGCCUUUUGGAACCAUGGAGACCAUUAAGAUCCUUAAGCACUUGUGUAACCAAGGGGCCAUUAUGAUGCCACAGGACAUCAUGGAAGCAAGAGAACCACUAUGAUGUUGCAAGACUUCAUGCAAGCAUAGAGCCAUUGUGACACUGAAGGGCCUUAUGGAACCAAGAGAACACAAAAUAGAUCUGGCUGCCUUGGCCUCCCAGGAGUCACCUGACAGGUCUGGCUGACCUUGGAAUGUUGAAGCCCACUCCCAUCUGACCCUGAAACACUGGAGCUCUGGGCUUUCCUUUGUAUGGAAAAGAACUGUCCAUCUUUUCCAGGUAUCCAUUGCCAAAAUUAGGAUUCCACCUCCAAAUUUCUGUGAUCCAAGGAUUGCUGCCAGAGAAAAGCUGCCAGGACAGACAGGAAUGGCUGGUCUUUCACUCCUGAGGGCCAGCAGUCACCUGUUUUCCAAACCCUGGAAAAGGCUCUGUGCUUUUUUUUUUUAAUGAAAAAAAUCAUCCUUUUUCUCGGGGCACAAAUGUCUGAAAGUAGGAUUCCACAUUCAUAAUUUUGAAUAUCCAAGGGUUGCUCCAAGCAAAUCUGCCAGGACAGACAGGUCAGGCUUGCCUUGGCCUCUGGUGGUUGCCAUUCACCAGCUGCUGAAACAUGGGGACUUCGUGGUUUCCUUCCUAUGGAGACCAAUGUGACACUUAGUGGUCUUGUGAAAUGAAGGAGCCAUUGUGACACUGCAGAGCACCAUGGAUCCAAGGGACCAUUGUGACACUGUGGAGCCUUGUGGAACCAAGGACAUCACUGUGGCUCUGUUGGGCCCCAUGGUCCCAAGGGGCCAGUGCAAAGCAGCAGUGUGGGAGUUAGCUCGGCUGUAACUCAGAGUCAGCCAGAUUUUACCCCGAAAGGACCUGGCAUGAGGUUCAAACCCUAGAAUCAUUUAUUUAACUUAGGAUGAGCUUGAGAGAUCUCCCAUAAGCCUUUAGUGUUGUUAUGUCAGGGAAUCAGAGAGGUUUGUCGCAGCCACCUUCACUGCGACAUUUGGCCUCUGAGCAGGGACCCUGACAUUCAGUUACGUCAGCUGGGGUUAGCUGAGAGAUAGGCCAGGCUCCCCAGGACUGUGGAUUGUGCCAGGCCCAGUGGAUUUCCCAUCACUUCGAGGGACCUGAGCCAGCAUUGGUGGGGACGAUGACAGUUUCCUCCUGUGAAGGAUUGCAGGUGGGUUUGGGAAAAUGCAGGACAUUUAUCGCCUAUUUUGCCACUGUGUUUUUAAAAUAUGGAUCCACAUCCCGUAAUUGAUUUGGGGUGUUCUGGUGGCUGUUCCCCCCAAGGCGGAGAAGGAGAAAAAUGGGUGGUCAGUUGUUCCAAAGUAGAAAGGGACCCCAUUGCACCCCGCAUGCUCCCCUUCUUCUACACCCUCCUUGAGACCCUUCACCAACAAGCUGUGUGUCGAAAACCUGAUCCAUCAGUCACUCCUAACCCAGGUACUUCCCUGAAACCAGCCUUUCUUGGACUUUCCAUGAUGGUCCAAGAUGGCAAUGGCCAUGCUGUCUUGGAGCAUUGUGCCCAGGAGACCCAAGAUGGAAUAAGCCUGAAUGUGGCUCAGGAGCCUGGCCAUCCUCCCUCCAUCUUGGCUCCUCCACUUGCUGCUACCACAACCUUCUCUUCCACUCUGAACGAACCUCCAGACUCCACUCCCGUGCCUGCAGGUCACCCUUCCACUGUCAUUCAUUCCACCUCCACCUUGGGCCACCGCUCCAGAAAAUGACAAAAUGGCAGUGCCCUUUACUCACCCUCCGGCAACAAUAUAAACGCCAUGGUCAAGGAUACUAAGCCAAACUCUCACACUAUUUCUAAUCCAAGUGUUUCUGCUCCAAGUUAUUCUUCCUCCCCAGAAGACAGUUUGCAUUCCCCAGAGCCACCUCUCCCCUCAACCCUAGGAGAUCCCUGGGAAAGGAUCUGGAAGGAAGCAGUUAAGGAAGGAGACUGGCAAAUAGUCUUGAAACUCCUCAUUGCCCCAGGACAUGAUGAAAGAAGGGAGCAGAAUCCCAGGUAUCAGCCAUUGGUUUACAGGGAAAUCAAGGAGCUGUGUAGGGCAGCUAAAGACUAUAGGCAGGAUUCACCUUGUUUUAAUGGCAUAAUGAGGGCCAUGUUUACAGCACAUGUAACCACCUAUGAUUUAAAAUAUAUUAUGACCAUGUUUUUAUGUUUUUAUCACCUACAGAAUACACCCUGUGGGAAAGGGGGAUGGAAGUGUUUACUAAAUCAAUUAAUAGCAGACUAUGUGAAUAAUGAGGCAAGGGCGCAAUUGACAAUCAGCCACCUAGCUGUAAAAAGGACAACACAGCCUGCCAGAUGAUCAAGCAGCAGGUAUCCCCAGAGAAGUAUUGGACGAUAUAAAAGAGAUGGCUUUGAAAGCUGUAAUCCAGGUACCGGAUGGAAACACCCCCAGUUUGGACUAUGUAAAUAUAAGACAAGAAUCCAGAGAGCCCUGCAUGAGAUGUAUUGAUUGCCUUAAACAGGCACUAGAGAAACAAGUCCAGGAUGAAAAGACUCAAAAUUAAAUUAAUAAUUACUAAAAUCAUUGGGGG